UGAAAGACUCCGACCUUUCCACGGAAUGAUUUUCCCUUCCGGAGCUUUUAUUUCUGCUCCAGCCUUUUGAAUGGACCAGUAAAGAGCGAGCCGCAAAACUCUAGGCACUCCACCCUAUCUCCCUCCCUCCCUCCUCGCCGUCCCCCGGGGGUGCCUCCCACCACCCUGGCGUGCUGCACCCUCGAGGACAGGACUGAUUUUCUCCACUGAAACAGCUGAGGAGGCAAUCCUUGGCAUGCACCUCUAAGAACCACAAAGUAACAAUCCAACUUCACAGGGCGGAGCACCGUGCUGGGAGCAGAACAGCCACUGCUGUGAGAAUGAGGAAAGAACAAUGGAUUCUCACUGGAGGCAUCAGGAAAGCGUUUGAGCUGUGCCUCUGAAGUAUGCCUGUGGAAGAGAAAGGAAGGAGGAUACCAGAAAAGGUGGAGAAGCCUGAAGAGAAGCAGAGGUGGGAAAGAGAGGGCACUGUUAGGGAAAUUCCGGGAGCCAGGCUUGGCAGCUGCGCAGAAUGCUUGAUGAGAUGUUGAAGCUGGAAAGAAAGGCCAGAAAGAGAAUGUCUUAUGUGCAAGAGUCAAACUAUCAGUGAAGAUUUUUGAUCAUUACAAGAUAACCACUGUUACCACUGUGUGCUAAAACCAUUUUUGCUAAAAGACAGGACGAUUGAUCUCUUGGUUCGCCUGAGUGGACAUUGGCAGAUUCUCCAUUAAAAGGGGCAAGUAGAACCUGCUCGAGGGGGAGGUGACCAGUUGGGAGCUUUCAUACUUCCAGAGCUGCUUCUCACCACGGAAAGUACCGUGGCGUGACCAGAGCUCUUGUCCAGUUUGGCUAAUAGCUGAAGGCAACAGGUCCUACAGCUGGUCGGCAGCGGAGCCACAUACAGACUUGGAUCUGCUCAGGUUUGAAGGAACCCUGUGUGUUCUCUCCAACUAUCACACGCUGUCUCCUGGAACUCAGAUUGCGUCCUUCCCCAUACUGCAUUCCAGAGAAAAAGGCAAGUUGAAAUAGGAACCGAGAGUCCAGUUUCAAAGAAAGAGUCUGAUCAGCAAUGUCAAAGGAACCUUCCAAUUCUGUGGUUCACCUGCGAGAUAACAUUCCCACAUUUGUGCUUGCGGUCAUAAAAUCCUCUACACAGUUUGCUAUUAAACCUUGGAAACGUCUAUGAUUCUUACCUUGCAAUGGCCUGUUGAUAAUCUGUUCCUAUUUGCCCCUCCUCACCCCUCUGUACUCCAUCUCCAAUGUACAAGAAGAACCAAAAUUGUGAACUUUCUGGAAGAGGUAA